rnacentral:rRNA from 1 species
GAUGAACGCUGGCGGCGUGCUUAACACAUGCAAGUCGAACGAGAAGUGAAGACGGAAACCUUCGGGCGGAAGGCUUUAUUUCGAGUGGCGGACGGGUGAGUAACGCGUGGGUAACCUGCCUCAUACAGGGGGAUAACAGUUGGAAACGACUGUUAAUACCGCAUAAGACCACAGCACCGCAUGGUGCGGGGGUAAAAACUCCGGUGGUAUGAGAUGGACCCGCGUUAGAUUAGCCAGUUGGCGGGGUAACGGCCCACCAAAGCGACGAUCGAGAGCCGAUCUGAGAGGCUGACCGGCCACAUUGGGAAUGAGACACGGCCCAAACUCCUACGGGGGGCAGCAGUGGGGAAUAUUGCACACGGGGGGAAAACCUGAUGCAGCGACGCCGCGUGAGUGAAGAAGUAUUUCGGUAUGUAAAGCUCUAUCAGCAGGGAAGAAAAUGACGGUACCUGAGAAAGAAGCCCCGGCUAACUACGUG